AUGCAUGAUCAGGUCGGCCUGGACCUGGACGGCUUCCCACUCGACCACGAGUUUCCGAAGGACUACGGGCAAGAGGAAGAGGACGAGAGCUACAUCGAAGGGGAGCCUUUUUCUGAGGAUGAGCUCACCAACCAAGCCGCCGGGGUGAAGCCGAAGCAGAAGAGCAAGCGGACCAAGGCAUACACGGCGGCCGAGGAGAAGCUUAUUUGUGAGUGUUGGAGAGACAUUGGCCAAGACCCCAAGACGGGCGCCGAACAAAAGAAUUCAACUUUUUGGAUUCGCGUCCACCGUGAGUUCCAUGAGCGCAAGAAGUAUCCGCCGUACCAAAUCGUAGGCACGCGCGGGUGGGUGUCCAUUUCGAAGUGA
rnacentral:rRNA from 1 species